GACGAACGCUGGCGGCGUGCUUAACACAUGCAAGUCGAACGGAAAGGCCCUGCUUUUGUGGGGUGCUCGAGUGGCGAACGGGUGAGUAACACGUGAGUAACCUGCCCUUGACUUUGGGAUAACUUCAGGAAACUGGGGCUAAUACCGGAUAGGAGCUCCUGCUGCAUGGUGGGGGUUGGAAAGUUUCGGCGGGUGGGGAUGGACUCGCGGCUUAUCAGCUUGUUGGUGGGGGAGUGGCUUACCAAGGCUUUGACGGGUAGCCGGCCUGAGAGGGUGACCGGCCACAUUGGGACUGAGAUACGGCCCAGACUCCUACGGGAGGCAGCAGUGGGGAAUAUUGCACAAUGGGCGGAAGCCUGAUGCAGCAACGCCGCGUGCGGGAUGACGGCCUUCGGGUUGUAAACCGCUUUCGCCUGUGACGAAGCGUGAGUGACGGUAAUGGGUAAAGAAGCACCGGCUAACUACGUG
rnacentral:rRNA from 1 species